GGCAGACUAUGACAAAAAUGCAUAUUUUAAUGUAGUAGGCAAACAGAAGACAUAAUAAAAGCAGUUAUAGCUAACAAGCCAAUAGAGAAGACAGAAUGUUAAACUAAAAAAAGCUUAAUUAACCCCAGUAAAGUCAGUAAUACAGGAAGAAAGAACAGAAAAAAUAAGUAGAAAAUAAGAAUUACAUUAAAUAUAAACAAACUAAACAUGUUGUUUAAAAGGCAGCAAUUGACAGAUUGUAUAAAAAAGCAAGACCCAUCCCUAUGCUGUUUAAAAGAUAUACAGAGACACAACAGAUUGAAAGAAUAGGAAGAAAAAUAUAUACCAUGCAAAUACUAAGCCUAAGAAAAUUGGUGUUAUACCAGUUUAUAACUGAUAGGCUGUAUUAAAAUCAUGCAAGGAGCAUUAUUAGAGAUAAAAAUGGUCAUUUCAUAGUGAGAGGCUAAAGUUUGGUCUAAGCAUUUUUAUAAAGGAUUCUGAAUUUCAGGCAGGUUGGUGAACAUUUGCCUAAAACACCUGCUUUGUGUUUGAGGCUUCUAUUUUUUAAAUGAGGUCAGUUUCUGAUAAAGUUUUGCUGUGCCCCCACCCAAAUCUCAACUUGAAUUGUAUCUCCCAGAAUUCCCACGUGUUGUGGGAGGGGCCCAAGGGGAGGUAAUUGAAUCAUGGGGACUGAUCUUUCCCGUGCUAUUCUCAUGAUAGUGCAUAAGUCUCAUGAGAUCUGAUGAGGUUAUCAGGGGUUUUUGCUUUUGCUUCUUCCUCAUUUUCUCUUGCUGUUGCCAUGUAAGAAGUGCCUUUUACCUCCUGCCAUGAUUCUGAGGCCUCCCCAGCCAUGUGAAACUGUAAGUCCAAUUAAACCUCUUUUUCCCCGCCCCCGAGUCUUGGAUAUGUCUUUGUCAGCAGUGUGAAAACAGACUAAUACAGUUUCCAAAUGGAGGGGGCUGUCUGGGUUGUGAGUUUUGCUGAAUCAGACCACAAUUCAUGGAUCAGUACAGAUCUAUUAGGUGUUGCAUGGGCUCCCAGUGCUGGACAGGUUGAUGCCAGGGACAUAGGCUACAUAACCCUUUCCUAUGAAGAGAUUAUAUCUUCUUGAUGAUACACAUACUUACCUACAACUGACAGCACAAAACAAGAAUUUUUCUCCAAUCACAGGCUUCAAACAUGCUCUGUUGUUUUUCCUUUUCCUACCCCUUGACAACAGUUCAGGCAGAUCUUGUAACGUGGUCCUGUCAGCUACAAUGAUGGUCAUUUUGACAGCUGGGAAUCAUGUUCAGGCAGCAAAUGGUCCUUGGGGUCAAAUUGCAACUUCAGCCUCCCUCUCUCCCCUCUAAAGCUUCUCCCUCUCCCCAGCUCAGCCUGGCCUGUGUGUGACUCAGGACUUCUUUCAUUCUCUCUUCGUCAUUAGGAUUUUUGGGGGGUGGGCAAGAGGAGGGAGAACUUGAAGAAAGGGGUCAAAGCCCCUGUACUUAAUGGGCUCCGCUGUUAUGGUUCCUUCUUUGCUCACAGGGGCUGGCUACGGAUGGUUUUUAGUGCCAGGGAGGAAUGUGCUUGCUGUCUUGCAGUUACAUGUGUGGGUUUUUCAGAAGCCUCUCAGGAGGGUGCCUUACCACCCAGAUCCCUGGCCUCCUGGUGAGGCACUCCCUGCCUGGCCUCUUGUGGCUCCUGUCCCCAGCUCCUGCCCACAACACAGUCCCUUCCUGCUGGGGCUCCUUGGCUUAUGGGAGGUCCACCCUUGCUCCUCCAAAUUCUAUGGCUCUCUUUCCUCAUGGGCUACUCUGCUCAGCCUCCCACCCUCAGAAUUCUCCAGCUGAGAUCCAGGAGACUAUGCCUUCUCUCCCCUAAAGUACAGGCAACUCUUGUCCAAGUCUCCCAAGAAGAGUGUCCCCACAUUCUUUACUGGGGCAGCCCUAGGACAGGACAGGGAUUUCUGCAGCUCGGCAAGCAUCUGGCUGGGGAGGAUGGUCAAGCUCCCUUUCUGCAGCAUCCUGCAUCUCGCUGAGUGUUGUCCUAAGAGCCCUUCUCACCCGGCCUAGGUUGGACAGGAGCACUCAUCUCCCCACUUCUUUCAUAGCCAUCUCCCCCAGGGACUCUUUCUCUCAUUAAUGACCUCCUUUGACUUUCUAGUCUGUGUAUAAGGAGAGGGGAGUAGUGGGGCAGGCUUAUAGGACCACUUGGUUGUUUCACCGGGGCCUGUUAUGGGGUGGGGGGAGGGGGGAGGGAUAGCAUUAGGAGAUAUACCUAAUGUUAAAUGACGAGUUAAUGGGUGCAGCACACCAAUAUGGCACAUGUAUACAUAUGUAACUAACCUGCACAUUGUGCACAUGUUCCCUAAAACUUAAAGUAUAUAUAAAAAAAUAAGCAUUUGGUACUCUCUUUAUAAUUAGGGGCAUUUAACACUAAAAUCCUCAGGCACGGGGUUGUGAUUCUGAGCUGGGCUGGAACAUCUCAUUCACCCUUCUGUCUAUGCACAGAUGAAGGGAAAGCAUCAGAAAACACAUGGCAAUGGACUUGACUUGGGGGUCUCUGCUCUGCCCAUUAGGUGUUAUAAGAUAGGAAAGACAACAGGCUUGGAGUCUUAAGACUGCAGGAUCAGGGCCUGAACUGAGCCUUGAGGGAAUUUUUUUUAACUUGAAAAAUUGCAUUAUAAAAGUUAUACAUGCUCCUUAUACAAAACAGCCACAAAUAAAAUCAACCUUCCUUCCCUCCAGUCUUGCUUCUCUAAGAUAACCUCUCAUGACAGUUUGCUCUGUAUACUUCCUGCUUUUUUAAAAAAUGCACGUAUAAAAGCACAUAUCCAAACCACAAAUAAAGCACACAGAUUUUUUUCAAGAGCACCCCAUGUGUAUUGGCUUGAAGGAUUUCGAACAGUCGUUUUCAAAUAUUUGUGUGCUUCCUGUCCCUGACCUGGAGAGACAGGGCUGCCAGGUAUGACUGUGCAGGCUACACUCUGUCCAAGAGUGCCUGCCUGAAGGAUUUAGUGGGCCUGAGAACCAGCCCGUGUUCUGUUGCCCAGCCACACACCCUGGCUAUGUGCAUUUGGAGAAGGGGCACCGGAGGGAGGGAGGCCUUUUCCUAAUUACAGCAAAGGCACUGGAUCUUUGAGAAAGUUCCUGGUUAGUGAAAUCAGAGAAGGAAACUGACCAGUCUAAUGCCAGAGCAAGGCUAUUGUGUCACCCAAGGCCAUGUGUGUAAAGAAGCAGGUGGACUCUAUACCAAGGACACAUGAGCUGUGAGGUCAGGGACCUCUGGGAACUCAGAAGAACACAUGCUCCUGCCCUCUGGAAGCUGACAAUCCGUGAAUGGAGGAAGUCACACACCUGAAAUGGCCCUUCCAUCUGCCCAUGCUGCCCCCAUCUCCUGAUUUGUGAAAUUCAUCAGGUGUGCACCCUUCUAAUGGCUGCUCCGAUGAAAACAGUAAAAACCCAUCAAGCCAGACCAAGAGGAGUGACCUACUUAUAUCAGAUUGUGUUAACUUUCUGAGAAGAGACAGACUCAGACCCAGAGAGGAGAACACCAUGUGGAGAUGGAGGCAGAGGUUGGAGUGAUGCACCUACAAGCCAAGGAACACUGUGGAUGGCAGCAGCUGCCAGAAGCCAGGAGAGAGGCAUGGAGCAGGUGCUCCCUCAGAGUCACCAGCAGGAACCAACCCUGCUGACACUUUGAUUUCAAACCUCUGUCUUCCAGAACGGUGAUAGAAUAAAUUUCUGUUGUUUUAAGCCAUCCAAGUCUGUGGUAAUUUACUAUGGCAGCUCUAGGAAACUAACACUAGUGUAGGAUAAAAAAUUUUCUCAACUCUGUCCCCUUGUUUUCUCUCAUUAUGAUGCCUAUCACUGGCCGGACCCAACUGGAAGCUGGAAAGCAAGGGAACUGUGAUGUGGUCCCUGGAGGUCAGCCUCUAGGUGCAAUGCAGAGCAGAGAAUGGAUGGAGGGUGACUAUAAAUGGAGAAUAAUCCAGGCUUCUAUCUUCUUCAAGUUCAGAGUCAGGUGGAAGAUGACAUGAACCCCAAAGGCUCUGGAGAAACUGCUGUCUCGACCCCUCUUUUCCACCCCUUGCACCUGGUUCUGUUGUGAACACAAGCAGGCUGAGAACACAGCUUGUUCCUCAAAACUGCAUCUUGGACAAGAAAUUGACUUUCCCCGGGGAACAAUGUUAUAAACAGGCGAGGAGUGGUAUGUGCGUGCCGAAGAAAGAGAUGAUGUAGAAGUUAAAAGGCUGGAGAACAAUAAACAUGAAAAGCAGUUCAACGUCAUUUGUAAGCAAGCCAACUCAAGUAAAAAUAACACUGAAAUGAAUUCAUUGCCACCCUUCAGGUUGGCACAGAAGGAUGUGAUGGCUGUCUCCCAGGGCUGGUGAAGGCAGGGGGAAGAAGACUCACUCUCUACUGCUGCAGGACUGGUUGUGGAUUCGGUGAGGCGUAAAGACCCCAGCACAGUGCUGGCUCCCUUUCUCUUCCUGCUCAGCUCCUUUCCCGACAUCUGCAACUUGCAUUGUAAAGCAAAAGACAGGGAAAAGUCAAGGUUCAGCAUCAAUGUCUCAGUGCUGUGCAGUGUUAUUUGCAUAAACCUUCCCAUUCACUGAUGGAAACCCCUGGCAUGUUCAUGCCAAGCAUUCUUAGCAGUACACAUACCUGGGGCAGAUCAAGUGCUAUCAUGAGAAAAUUGACUGCAUUAAAUCACACAGGUCUUAAGGGAAGUGGAAGGGCAGGGUGGGAACUGAUAGCUAAGAACAACAUUUGCACCUUAUGACAAUUGCCUCAUCAUUGUAAUCCCAUUGGGGAAACCUAUACAAAUAUGACUAGUGUAGCUGCAGUGUGUGUUCUGCCCAUAGCUCCUCAGGUAUUUUCACCAUUUCCACCUGUGCCAACCUGAUGUCUGGUAACUGAUACUUUCAUCUUUGUUGUGGUUUGCCUUCAGAGUACAGAAAACCCCUUUGUCCCUGUAAACAGCCAGCAGGAAGUGCCUAUGAAUUAAUCACGCUUAACCACUGACAAGUGGUUUAUGAGUGUUGGUCAAGAAUAUUCAGCUCCCUGGCCAAAAUAAUUCUGAACCCUAUUUUGUGCUAUUUACCAGAGCGCCCCCAGGGGAUUAAGCUUUAAUCUUCCACUGUUGUAGCUGGCUGAAUAAUGGUUGCCUUCCCCUCCCAUACCACUUGCCCUCCUUCCUACCCCUGUUCCUUGCACCUCCCUAUAGGUGGCUUGUCCUCAGAGACUUGGCUCAAAGUCUGCUUCUGGGGCAAUAUAAACUAAGACAAGUGGCAAGCGAGGCCUGCUUAGCCCAUGUUUUCCAGAUAUACAUUUUGAGACUCAGGGACUGGGCUAACUUUGGUCACUUGCUCCUUGUUUUUUUGUGUUAAUCCAUCACCAACAGUUGCACAGCUCAUUCAUAACAUCCACAUAAUGAAAUCAUGUAUCCAGCAAGGGUUGAUAGGUGUAAAUUAUUAACAGUUAUUAAAUACUUUUAUUAUACUCACUUAACUACAGCAGAAAAUGGGGAACUAAGGAUAAGUAACUUGUCAGGAUCACACAGUAGGUGAAGGAGCCGGAUUUCAAACCCAGCACCUAUAUUUUGAACCCCCAUUUGUAAUGACUGUACCAUACUGUACCCUUAAUAGAAUGAUGCCUGCUCUACUGUUUUGUGUCAAACCUUAUUGCCAUUCUUCUUAUAAGUCUUUUGUUUCAUGUAAGUGAACAGAGAAAUAAACAUACAGGCCCAUGGGGAUGUAGAUGGCCAAGUGAGAGGGAGGCUAAAUAGGCAGAGCUCUCUAGAGUUCCCAUCCCUUUUCAACCAAGAAAUUCCAUAUUCAUAUGUUAUAUGAGUACAUUCUCUAUAGGAUGUCACAGGGUACUGGGGAAGUGUUUGGCAGCCACCAGUGUGGUAAGACAUGACCUAUUUUGCACUGUAGCUCUGCGGGGACUCAGGUGUGGAAAUAGAGUCUUCGGAUGGGGGUGUGGGAUCACUAGGAAGCCAUAGGAGGAGCAGGAGAUGAGGUUACUUGUAUCAGAGACUAAGGGACAUUCAGAGCAAGAGAGGCUGGUGGGUUUAAAGAGAUAUUUG
rnacentral:lncRNA from 10 species